ensembl:misc_RNA Metazoa_SRP Metazoan signal recognition particle RNA
GCCAGGCAUGGUGGUGUAUGCCUGUGGUCCUAGCUACUUGGGAGGCUGAGGCAGGAGGAUCCCUUGAGCCCAGGAGGUCAAGGUUGCAGUGAGCCAUGGUUGUGCCACUGUACCCCAGCCUGGGUUACACAGUGAGAUCCUGUCUCAA